rnacentral:hammerhead_ribozyme from 1 species
AUCCAGCUGACGAGUCCGAAAUAGGACGAAAUGCGCAUCCUGGAU